UGUCUGCAAUGGCCUAGUAAAAGUUGAAAAGUUUGACAAAAAUGCUACAGUUAUUUUCAGGUCCUCUCCAAGUCUGGCGAGACCCUGUACAAAGACCAAACAAUAUUUUAUAAAUUUUCAUCUACCCGCUCCUCCCUCUUUCUCUCGAUUUCUCGUUUAUUCUCCAAAAUCCUCAAAUUUCUUUUCUCUUUCUUUCUCCUGAACUGCUUCUUCAUCCAGUUGCCCUUCUUCAACCCGCAGCCCCCAUUCAGGUCCAGUGGUCGCCUUCUCCAGUAGACCCCAUCGUCUUCGAGCUCUCCAAACCAGGUCAAAUCAAUUGCUUAGCAUUUGCUUGCUCCAUGAAUCACGCCGAAGGUUCUCCUUCCACGAACCUCCCUCUUCUCCGGUGCAAGGUAUGCACUCUAAUGUUGUGACUUUGCCAAAGGCUAGCAUAUGGCAAGAGGCUGCGCGGAUUGUUGGUGAAGAAGGAUUCAGAGUUUUUUGGAAGGGGAAUCUGAUUACAAUUGCUCAUCUUCUACCUUAUUCUUCUAUCAAUUUUUAUGCAUUUGACCACUAUAAAAAGGUUGGUAGAAACAAGCAUAUAUAUGUCUGUCUCUGUUUGUGUUUGUGAUCCAUAGUUAUCAGGAAAUUGCUUCUAAUCAUGCCUUUAUGCCCUGGUCAAUGACUAAACUGUAUUUAAUGUGAUACAACUACUAAAGAUGAUUUCAGAACUGGAGAGCCGAAGAGAAAAUAUGGGUGUGGACAUUUGUGUACAUUUUGUAGCUGGUGGUUUGGCAGGAAUAACAGCUGCUUCAGUUCCUUUGGUAUACUCAAGAAUAAGUUGUGGGGUUAGGGGGAGAGAUGCACGAGGUCUAAAGUGGAGUGAAUUUGUUAGUUAUGAACUUGUUUGUACUGGUUUGAUACUGAAAUGUGAAAGAAUUGCUAGUUGAAGACUAGAAAUGUUGGUGGAAUGUUAUUGUAGGCCACCGAAUUGUAGGCCUUUGUAUUAUAGGUUGAUGUUAUGAAAUGUUAUUAUUGAUCUUUUUUUCAUA